rnacentral:rRNA from 1 species
UACGGAGGAUCCAAGCGUUAUCCGGAUUCACUGGGUUUAAAGGGUGCGUAGGUGGAAUGACAAGUCAGUGGUGAAAACCUGCAGCUUAACUGUAGAACUGCCAUUGAUACUGUUAUUCUUGAGUACAUUUGAUGUGAGCGGAAUGUGCCAUGUAGCGGUGAAAUGCUUAGAUAUGACACAGAACACCAAUUGCGAAGGCAGCUCACAAAACUGUAACUGACACUGAGGCACGAAAGCGUGGGGAGCAAACAGG